rnacentral:siRNA from 1 species
UCUAGUUUUCAAUGGUUGCAGAAC